AUGUUAAUGCAAAGCUCAAUGGUGUUAGACUACUACUGUGAAAAUUGUUGCAUUGACAUUGAUACUGGGUUGCUGGUUGAGGAAGGGUUUAAGCUUUAUGAGGAUGGAGUUGAUAAAGAUAGUAGUGAGCAGGUUGAUGCAGGGCUAGUCUUGGAUUGUUGUGGGCAGCGUAUGACUGUUUUGAAAGCAAGGCAUUUGGACUAG